rnacentral:rRNA from 1 species
AUUGAACGCUGGCGGCAUGCCUUACACAUGCAAGCCGAACGGCAUCGCGGGAAAGCUUGCUUUCCUGGCGGCGAGUGGCGAACGGGUGAGUAACACAUCGGAACGUACCGGCUAGUGGGGGAUAACCCGUCGAAAGACGGGCUAAUACCGCAUACGCUCUUCGGAGGAAAGCAGGGGACCUUUGGGCCUUGCGCUAGCCGAGCGGCCGAUGUCCGAUUAGCUAGUUGGUGGGGUAAAGGCCUACCAAGGCGACGAUCGGUAGCGGGUCUGAGAGGACGAUCCGCCACACUGGGACUGAGACACGGCCCAGACUCCUACGGGAGGCAGCAGUGGGGAAUCUUGGACAAUGGGGGCAACCCUGAUCCAGCAAUGCCGCGUGGGUGAAGAAGGCCUUCGGGUUGUAAAGCCCUUUCGGCAGGGAAGAAAUCGGCGGGGCGAAUAACCCUGCUGGAUGACGGUACCUGCAGAAGAAGCACCGGCUAACUACGUG